AAUAAUAGCCUUCUUUAUUAAUUUUUUUUUCUCACUACACUUCACUCUCUCCUCCUAUAUAACCCCUCCCAACACUUCCUCCAUAGCUUUCUUCAAUUAUACCUAACACAAUUGCAAUUCAAAUUUUCUUCAACUUCUUUCCAAAUUUUCCAAUGCUUCAAUUUUUCACCUUCACCUUCUUCUCCUUAUCAUCAUUUUCACUUCUUCUCAAUUUCAAUUCCCCCUCUGUUUUUUCUAAAUAUUAAUUACUUUCUACUCUAUCAAAUUCAAAAACAACCUUCAAAUUUUAGGUUUGUAAAAUUUGAAAAUGAACUAUCUGUAUCCGGUGAAAGAGGAGUAUUUGGAAUUCGAAGCAUCCUCGUCGACAACAUCAAUGGUUGGUGUUCCACGACCAAUGGAGGGUCUUCAUGAAGUUGGACCGCCACCAUUUCUAACAAAAACUUUCGAUGUUGUUGAGGAUCCCACAACUAGUCACAUAGUCUCAUGGAACAGAGACGGUGUUAGCUUUGUUGUUUGGGAUCCAAAUGCUUUCUCCAGAGACCUUCUUCCUCGAUACUUCAAACACAACAAUUUCUCAAGUUUUGUUAGACAACUCAACACUUAUGGAUUUAGAAAAAUCGAUCCUGAUAAAUGGGAGUUUGCGAACGAAGGAUUUCUGAGAGGGCAUAAGCAUCUUUUAGCGAACAUUAAGAGAAGGAGACAAACAUCUCAACCUAGUACUUCUUCAUCUUCUUCUUCUCAACAAUCAUCAUUUGGUCAAUGUGUUGAAGUUGGUCGUUAUGGAUUAGACGAAGAAAUCGAUCAUUUGAAGCGCGAUAAACAAGUGUUAAUGAUGGAGCUUGUGAAGCUGAGACAGCAACAGCAGAAUACAAGGUCUUGUCUUCAAGCUAUGGAGGAGAGGUUAAUAGGGACAGAGAUUAAGCAGCAACAGAUGAUGGCUUUUUUGGCUAGAGCUAUGAGAAAUCCUGCUUUUAUUCAGCAGUUGCUUCAGCAUAAGGAGAGGAGAAAGGUGAUUGAAGAAGAUGUUACUAAGAAGAGAAGAAGGCCUAUUGAGUAUGGCGAAUCAAGCAAUAGUGUUGAAUUUGGGUUCGGGUUUGAAGUGUCAGAGUUGGAGGUUUUAGCUAUGGAAAUGCAAGGUCUUGGAAGAGGUGGAGGAGAACAAGAGCAAGAGGAAGAAGAGAUUGAGGUAUUUGAGACUAAUGAGAAUAAUUUGAAUAAAGAACUUGAUGAAGGGUUUUGGGAAGAACUUUUUAGUGAAAAAUUUGAGAGUGAGUUAGAUAUUUUAUAUGCUCAAAGAGAUGAUGAAGAUAAUGUCAAUUUGUUGGCUAAUCGCUUUGGUAACUUGGGUUCAAGUCCGAAAUGAACUACAUUGAAUCAUGAUUAACAUUUUCGCAUGUUCGAGUAUGUUCGAGUGAUUCGAGAGUUGGAAAUUCGUUCUUUUUCGGACUCGAAUUUGUAGAAGUAUGAUCAUGGUUGGAAACUUGGUGUGACAGUAAAUCUACCAAGGAAAAAAUCUGUGGAAAGCGUUUAAAUUUUGGUGUUUCUAACUCUUAUAAUAUAUGUGUCCUUUUGUUGUAGUAACAGGUUGAAACUUUGGUUUCUCAUGUUUGUGAUCUCUUUGAUAUUAGGUAGGUUUUGCAGAGCUGUUGAAUGGACAAGAAUCUCUGAUAGUUGAUAGAGAUGAUUAUUUGCUCUCAAGAUUGAUUCAGAAGAUGUAGAAUGGUACGAAGUAGCUGAUGAAUGAUGAUCAAGAAUCAUAACUGAAUUUGCUUUUUGAUUGAAGAUCCUAAUGGUGGUGAACCUUGUUGGUUUGAUAUUUUUCUUCCCUAUGAACUUUAGAAUUGGUUUGUACUUUUGUUAUGUGGUGAGGAAAAAAAAAAGGCAUAUCCAUCAACGAAUUUCAUGAUGUUACAUGACAUAAUGUAGUGUUGUGUAAUUAGGUAGGUAGGAAGGUAUCUUCAUGUGUGCAAGAUUCCUUUCUCAUUUGAGAAACCAAUAUGUAAAAAAUCAUUGGGGACUAAAAUGUGUGAACACUAUGUUGUUGAGAAAAUGAGUGGAUUGUAUUUAUAGUGGAGAGGAAAUUGUAAAAUGAACAGUUGCUUUCACUUCUCUGUCCUCAUAUGAAUAGAUAGGAGGAAUGGAAUAAAAGACGUUGUGAAUAAGAGGUUGAUAUUAGAGAAGAAGAGAGAGUAAUAGUUUUGUUGAACUAUGUAGUAUGAAAAGAAUAAUCUUUGUAUAGUCAAGUAUAUGUUACUUGUGGAGAUGAGGUGUUUUAAUUUAUAUGUGU